rnacentral:rRNA from 1 species
AACGAACGCUGGCGGCGUGGAUAAGACAUGCAAGUCGAACGGGAUUAUUUUUGUAGCAAUACAGAAAUAAUUCAGUGGCGAACGGGUGCGUAACACGUGGGCAAUCUGCCGAAAAGUGGGGAUAGCUCGCCGAAAGGCGAAUUAAUACCGCAUGUGGUGAGGGACGACAUCUUCCUGAAUCCAAAGGCCGGGGCAACCUGGCGUCUUUUUGAGGAGCCCGCGGCCUAUCAGCUAGUUGGCGGGGUAACGGCCCACCAAGGCUAUGACGGUAGCUGGUCUGAGAGGACGACCAGUCACACUGGAACUGA